rnacentral:tRNA from 2 species
CAAGUUAUUCUUUAGUAGUAUUUGUUAUUUACAUUAACAAUUUGUUUGUGCAAUUCAAUCUAGCUUGA